GACGAACGCUGGCGGCGUGCUUAACACAUGCAAGUCGAACGGUAAGGCCCUUCGGGGUACACGAGUGACGAACGGGUGAGUAACACGUGGGUGAUCUGCCCUGCACUUCGGGAUAAGCCUGGGAAACUGGGUCUAAUACCGGAUAGGACCACUGCCUGCAUGGGUGGUGGUGGAAAGCUUUUGCGGUGUGGGAUGGGCCCGCGGCCUAUCAGCUUGUUGGUGGGGCGAUGGCCUACCAAGGCGACGACGGGUAGCCGGCCUGAGAGGGUGACCGGCCACACUGGGACUGAGAUGCGGCCCAGACUCCUACGGGAGGCAGCAGUGGGGAGUAUUGCACAAUGGGCGCAAGCCUGAUGCAGCGACGCCGCGUGAGGGAUGACGGCCUUCGGGUUGUAAACCUCUUUCAGCACCGACGAAGCGCAAGUGACGGUAGGUGCAGAAGAAGGACCGGCCAACUACGUGCCAGCCGCCGCAGUAA
rnacentral:rRNA from 1 species